rnacentral:rRNA from 1 species
UACAGGGGGGGCAAGCGUUGUUCGGAAUUACUGGGCGUAAAGGGCCAGUAGGCGGCUAACUAAGUCCGACGUGAAAUCCCCAGGCUUAACCUGGGAACUGCGUCGGAUACUGGUUGGCUUGAAUUCGGGAGAGGGAUGCAGAAUUCCAGGUGUAGCGGUGAAAUGCGUAGAUAUCUGGAGGAAGACCAGUGGCGAAGGCGGGUCUCUGGACAGUUCCUGACGCUGA